GCUGGGGUUUCUUUCUGAGGUGAAUCCCAGGCACUAGGACACAUCUGGUUAAGAGCAUUUGGUCUGUGCCCGGAAAUACAGAGUUCAGAAGAGUCUGAUGCAGCUGAUGGUGGGGAAUUUGCUGUCCUUGUGGUUGUCUUGGGAUUGGGCCGCGUCCAACAGGCUCUGGUUAGAGACACAGCGCCGUGGCCUGGAGAAUCCAAACUGUUCACACCACUGGCCGUUCAGUUGUAUCUGUUUCCUGCUUCAGCACGGUGAUCUGAGAAUCCUGAGCAGAAGUUUGAACGUCACCCAGCUUUC
rnacentral:lncRNA from 1 species